AACGAACGCUGGCGGCAGGCUUAACACAUGCAAGUCGAGCGCCCCGCAAGGGGAGCGGCAGACGGGUGAGUAACGCGUGGGAAUCUACCCAUCUCUACGGAAUAACGCAUGGAAACGUGUGCUAAUACCGUAUACGUCCUUCGGGAGAAAGAUUUAUCGGAGAUGGAUGAGCCCGCGUUGGAUUAGCUAGUUGGUGGGGUAAAGGCCUACCAAGGCGACGAUCCAUAGCUGGUCUGAGAGGAUGAUCAGCCACACUGGUACUGAGACACGGCCCAGACUCCUACGGGAGGCAGCAGUGGGGAAUAUUGGACAAUGGGCGCAAGCCUGAUCCAGCCAUGCCGCGUGAGUGAUGAAGGCCCUAGGGGUGUAAAGCUCUUUCACCGGUGAAGAUAAUGACGGUAACCGGAGAAGAAGCCCCGGCUAACUUCGUGCCAGCCGCCGCCGUAAAAC
rnacentral:rRNA from 1 species